rnacentral:rRNA from 1 species
GCAAGUCGAACGCGACUUAGGCUUCGGUCUAAGUUGAGUGGCGAACGGGUGAGUAACACGUGGGUGACCUACCUUCGAGUGGGGGAUAACGUCCCGAAAGGGACGCUAAUACCGCAUAACAUCCUGCCUUUGAACAGGUGGAGAUCAAAGCCGGGGAUCGCAAGACCUGGCGCUUGAUGAGGGGCCCGCGUCUGAUUAGCUAGUUGGUGGGGUAAUGGCUCACCAAGGCAACGAUCAGUAUCCGGCCUGAGAGGGCGGACGGACACACUGGGACUGAGACACGGCCCAGACUCCUACGGGAGGCAGCAGUGGGGAAUUGUUCGCAAUGGGCGCAAGCCUGACGACGCAACGCCGCGUGGAGGAUGAAGGUCUUCGGAUUGUAAACUCCUGUUGCUCGGGACGAAAAGCUCCGACCUAAUACGUCGGAGUCUGACGGUACCGAGUGAGGAAGCCCCGGCUAACUCUGUGCCAGCAGCCGCGGUAAUACAGAGGGGGCAAGCGUUGUUCGGAAUUACUGGGCGUAAAGGGCGCGUAGGCGGCCUGCUAAGUCGAACGUGAAAUCCCUGGGCUCAACCCAGGAACUGCGUCCGAUACUGGUUGGCUUGAAUCCGGGAGAGGGAUGUGGAAUUCCAGGUGUAGCGGUGAAAUGCGUAGAUAUCUGGAGGAACACCGGUGGCGAAGGCGACAUCCUGGACCGGUAUUGACGCUGAGGCGCGAAAGCCAGGGGAGCAAACGGGAUUAGAUACCCCGGUAGUCCUGGCCCUAAACGAUGAAUGCUUGGUGUGGCGGGUAUCGAUCCCUGCCGUGCCGAAGCUAACGCAUUAAGCAUUCCGCCUGGGGAGUACGGUCGCAAGGCUG